UACGGGGGGAGCAAGCGUUGUUCGGAUUUACUGGGCGUAAAGGGCGCGUAGGCGGCCACUGCAAGUCAGUUGUGAAAUCUCCGGGCUUAACCCGGAAAGGUCAACUGAUACUGCAGGGCUAGAGUGCAGAAGGGGCAACUGGAAUUCUCGGUGUAGCGGUGAAAUGCGUAGAUAUCGAGAGGAACACCGAUGGCGAAGGCAGCCUCCUGGGCCAACACUGACGCUCAUGCACGAAAGCGUGGGGAGCAAACAGG
rnacentral:rRNA from 1 species